rnacentral:lncRNA from 1 species
AACAACUACAGUAGCUACUAUGAUAUAAGAACAGAAAGUACAAGUAAGGAACUAAUGUACAAGUAAUGAACUACUGCUACUGUAUGUAUGCAUCAACUGGUGGAUAGUCCAAAGAUACCCAAUCUAAACCUGCCUUGUUGGUCCGGAGACCUCAGGCUAAUGCCACAAUCACUCAACCUGCAUAUACACAGUCGUAACCUCUGAGCUCACGGGUGGGCAAGCCCAACCACUUUUUCGGAAAAGAACACCCCCUGCGGUGGAUCAGACCGCUGGUGUUCGUGAAAUGCGAACGAGUGGUGACGAUCGAUGCUGAUAUGCUCAAUAGCCAACCGUCGGCAACCAGCCGACAAUCACUGCCCCUCUGGGCAUACCGACCGUAUAGGUCAUCAAGUACAACGUGAACCGACCGAGAUAGGUCAAUGUACGUAAAGUAACGAACGACCAAACAGGUCACCGAUGCAACAGGAGAACCGACCAAUCAGGUCACAUGUAUAGUAUAUACUAAUGCCAUCUACUCUACCCCUACACAGAAUACUACGCAUAGGACAACCGGGCAGAGUAAAUAAAGACAGUAUGGUGCAAGGCUCAAUAUGUAAAGAGUAAGCAAUAUGACUAGACGAUGUAAAAGAUAGGGUAAAGGAAGACAUCACCGAGCGUGCACCACUGUACCGACUUCGGAUCGAAGUACCCACCUGUAUAAAGCUGAAACGGUCUCGCGAAGGCGGAGACGAAGCGACCGGACCUACGAAGGGUCCACCGGGUUAGAGUCUAACCCACAAACACAAUAACACGACCAUUCUCACACAAAUCCCAAAAUCAUAACCCCUCGGAAAUCGGUUUCUCAAACGCAACUUCCGAACCAGCCGGAAGUCCCGGAAACCGUACCGGAACUCCACCGUCGCUCACCCGUCGUUUCUGAACCCUCGAGACGACACGGGUGACCAGCCAACAAGGCUCAGCGACGCAACAAUCAACCACGAGGCACCGUCGGAUGAAUUCCGAGUCGAACACGCGUUCUAUCGGCGGAUUUCGCCGAAAAACGCUCCGGAAAUGACAGAUAGAUUUCCGCAAGGGCUUGGGGCCUUGGACGAUCAGUCCAGAGGUUAUCUUAAGCCUUAACCUGCUGCCAACAGCAGCCACAACGAAGCGAAACGCAAAAGGAUCCCUAAUGGCCCAUGAAAUCACAUUAUUUUAUGUGAUUUCAUGGCUCUAACGGGUCGUACCAGCAAACCAGGGAUCUACGGAGGUUGCCAUCGCACUUGCUGCAAGGUUUCAGCAUGCCUGAGGCCGUGCUCACCUUUCGGAGCACUGCCGGCAGCAACCACGCGCGCACGAGCGACGCGAACCUCAGCGAAUCAGUGCGCACACUGUGGAAAACAGCCUUUUCUUACUAACCAGGGCGUCAUUGGCCUAAAUGGAGGUGAGCAUCGUGUUCAGCACGAGCCCACGAUCACCGUGCUCACCUCCCGAGGUGCCAGGGAGUCAUCGGAUCA